AUUUAGUCAGUGGUACUUUGGGACUUCAUGAAGCAAUUCACAUACUUCAGAAGCCUUUUUGAGCUGCAUCUGAAGCAGAAAGUUGCACAAGGAGAAACAAUAAGCAGCUGAUUUUUUUUGUGGAAGGGACCUGUCUCACCCAUCUGAGAUGUGCAGAAGAGCUAUGCUGAGAUAGCCUUGUGAACCAUAAACCUAGGCCUACAGAUCUUAGAAAGCCUUUUAAGUCAAGGAAAUUUCUGGACCAUUACCUCUGUGGAACCGGAUCCAUGUAGGGCAAUAGUUGGAGUGGGGUUCCUUUUAAUGUAUGUCAGCAUGGCAUCCAGGAUGGCUCAUGGUUAGCUAGUGAAUGGAGCUCUGCUCACAGAUACCUGAGAUGCAGUUUGAAUUAUUUCAAAGAGCCAAUGAAAAGAGCUAAUGCAGAAAUACAAGACCUCUUGUGAUUCAGUAAGACUUUACAGUUUUGAUUUGGGGCUGGGCAGGCCUGAAGAAUCCCAGAAAAAAAAUCUCUGUAAGAAGAUUUCAGAGUGUAUCCCCUGGGAAAUUAUUACCUGCAUCUCUUCUCUUUUUUUUACUUUCUGUUUCAUGUAUUUAUUUUAUGAUUCAGGUGCUGCAUUAGUCUAAUAUAGAGUUUACAUUUUUGAAAGCUUGUUUUUAUUCGACAUGCUUAGCAGAAAAAUGACUAAUAGAGGAAGCCCAUGAUUCUCCUAACAAAAAGUUAUAUGGACUCUGAUCCUUUGAAGAGUUAAAUCCUUUGUUUCACAAUCAUGGUAAAUAACUACUACUAUUCAAACUGGAAAAAUUAAAUCAGAAAUUGGAUGUGAGCGCUUUAACUGAU